GCCGAAGUGGCGGAAUGGCAGACGCGGCGGUCUCAAAAACCGCUGAGUGCAAGCUCGUGUGGGUUCGAAUCCCACCUUCGGCACCA
rnacentral:tRNA from 5 species